UCCUUGUGUCUCUGGACAUAAAAUGUAUAAACUGUUCCAGGUAAGCGUCACCUUUCUUGUGGAAAUUCAUGGGAUUAUUUGCUGAGGGUUAAUCCUGAAAAGUUUCAUCCCAUAGUCUCAUCCACCCCCCUCCUACUGCUGUGGGACCCCUGAUGGUAGAAACUUCCCCAGCCCCACCUGCUGCCACUGUAAGCUGUCCUUCCUUCACUGCUAAGAUUCCAGGCUCUGGAGUGAGAGUGCCUGGAUUUGAAUCCUGCCUUGGCCCCAGCUGUGUGACUGUGCGGAAGCUACUUACCUAAGCCUCAGUUUCUUCACUGUAAAUGGGAAUAGUCAUAAUGCCUACCAAAUGGGUUUUAUUGUGUGUGACAAUUGAAUGAGGCGAUUCAUUUGAGGCACUGUGCCUGGCAGAUUGUAAGUACACAAUAAUACUAUUGUUACUUUUAUCCCCAGAGACUGUUGGCCUUCCCUAAUAUGCAUUCUCUCCUUCCUUGGUAAUAGAAUUUUCACUGGACACCUGGAACACAAUAAAAUGUGUAUUUUUAAAAGCC
rnacentral:lncRNA from 1 species